AGAUUGAACGCUGGCGGCAGGCCUAACACAUGCAAGUCGAGCGGCAGCACGGGUACUUGUACCUGGUGGCGAGCGGCGGACGGGUGAGUAAUGCCUAGGAAUCUGCCUGGUAGUGGGGGAUAACGCUCGGAAACGGACGCUAAUACCGCAUACGUCCUACGGGAGAAAGCAGGGGACCUUCGGGCCUUGCGCUAUCAGAUGAGCCUAGGUCGGAUUAGCUAGUUGGUGAGGUAAUGGCUCACCAAGGCGACGAUCCGUAACUGGUCUGAGAGGAUGAUCAGUCACACUGGAACUGAGACACGGUCCAGACCU
rnacentral:rRNA from 1 species